AUCACGAGGUAGCAAUACUUUGGUGGCGACCGGCGCACGGGUGCGUAACGCGUAUGUAACCUACCUAUAACAGGGGCAUAACACUGAGAAAUUGGUACUAAUUCCCCAUAAUAUUCGGAGAGGCAUCUCUCCGGGUUGAAAACUCCGGUGGUUAUAGAUGGACAUGCGUUGUAUUAGCUAGUUGGUGAGGUAACGGCUCACCAAGGCAACGAUACAUAGGGGGACUGAGAGGUUAACCCCCCACACUGGUACUGAGACACGGACCAGACUCCUACGGGAGGCAGCAGUGAGGAAUAUUGGUCAAUGGACGCAAGUCUGAACCAGCCAUGCCGCGUGCAGGAAGACGGCUCUAUGAGUUGUAAACUGCUUUUGUACGAGGGUAAACUCACCUACGUGUAGGUGACUGAAAGUAUCGUACGAAUAAGGAUCGGCUAACUCCGUGCCAGCAGCCGCGGUAAUACGGAGGAUUCAAGCGUUAUCCGGAUUUAUUGGGUUUAAAGGGUGCGUAGGCGGUUUGAUAAGUUAGAGGUGAAAUCCCGGGGCUUAACUCCGGAACUGCCUCUAAUACUGUUAGACUAGAGAGUAGUUGCGGUAGGCGGAAUGUAUGGUGUAGCGGUGAAAUGCUUAGAGAUCAUACAGAACACCGAUUGCGAAGGCAGCUUACCAAACUAUAUCUGACGUUGAGGCACGAA
rnacentral:rRNA from 1 species